rfam:Ohtaekwangia koreensis strain DSM 25262 genome assembly, contig: LY03DRAFT_scaffold00002.2
GGGGGAUUAGCUCAGCUGGCUAGAGCGCCUGCUUUGCAAGCAGGAGGUCAUCGGUUCGACUCCGAUAUUCUCCA